UUUCCAAACCCGUGUAUAUAAGGCAUCUAAAAAACCUAAACUUCUCUACAUCCACAUUCUUCUCCUUCGCCGCAUCAUACUUGAAACCCUAGAUUCACAUCUCAGCUACGCUAUUCCAGAUCAUAUUGCCUCUUCUGCAAUUUCUCUCACAUCUCAGUUCUUCCAGUUCUCCCUCAACCUCAGUUCCACCAUUCAGCGAUUUCACUUUGGAUCUUGAUGAUUAGUUCAAAAGGUAGAUUGUAUGAGGAUAUGAACACUUCUCUCGCCAUUGAAGAAUAUAUAAACGGUA